GCUUCCCGUAUGAUCACUGAAGUUAAGCAACGUUUAGCCAGGUUAGUAUCUAGACGGGUGACCGCUUGGGAAUACCAGGUGAU